rnacentral:rRNA from 1 species
GACGAACGCUGGCGGCGUGCCUAAUACAUGCAAGUAGAACGCUGAAGAGAGGAGCUUGCUCUUCUUGGAUGAGUUGCGAACGGGUGAGUAACGCGUAGGUAACCUGCCUGGUAGCGGGGGAUAACUAUUGGAAACGAUAGCUAAUACCGCAUAACAACAGUUGUUGCAUGACAGCUGUUUAAAAGAUGCAAUUGCAUCACUACCAGAUGGACCUGCGUUGUAUUAGCUAGUUGGUGAGGUAACGGCUCACCAAGGCGACGAUACAUAGCCGACCUGAGAGGGUGAUCGGCCACACUGGGACUGAGACACGGCCCAGACUCCUACGGGAGGCAGCAGUAGGGAAUCUUCGGCAAUGGGGGGAACCCUGACCGAGCAACGCCGCGUGAGUGAAGAAGGUUUUCGGAUCGUAAAGCUCUGUUGUAAGAGAAGAACGGGUGUGAGAGUGGAAAGUUCACACUGUGACGGUAUCUUACCAGAAAGGGACGGCUAACUACGU